CUUAGGUCACGACCUUACUUGAGCAGGAUCUGUUCUAUAGGCUCGUACUUCUGUAUCCUUGGUUCCUAAGGAGACAGGCUCUCAAACCUGGUUGAUGAGUCUAGACUGUGCGAUCUGAGUGAGAUUGAUGGUCACGAUUCUCUUCGUAGUUUCCGCGCUAUAGAGGAUCGCUAUCCGGUCGGAUUUCGACCUGUCCGGGGUGGUCGCACUGUUGUCUGACAGGCUAACUUUUUGUUUCUUUCAUUAUUAUUCCAUUAACUUUCGAUUUCUUACAAUUUCACUCCAUAUGUUUUUUCUUUUGAACGAAAACCCCAUGUUUUCUCUUCACCGUUCCAAACUUCCAAUUCCACAUCUUCUUCUACUCUUCGGUGUUGUGUUGUUUCGAAUUUCUCUUCUCCGAACAUGAUUCCUUCUGCAAUUGAAUCGAACCAGUUUUAUAAUCUCGAUUCUAAAUCAACAAAAAGAGAUGGAGAAAUAUAAGGACCAUCAUAUGAAUAAGCUUUUACCUGAGAAGGAACUUUAAUUUGAGAGUUGAGACUCUAUUGAUGGUGUUGUUGGGAUCUGUUUCUGAGUGAGCAUGGAGGACCGCAAGCUGCACGAGCAGUCAUGAAAUGGACACAGGAUCAUGUGGACAGUGACAUGAAGCAUUGGACUGUAUUUCUUCCCUUGAGCCAAGUUUACUCGAAUCGCUCGACCUUCCAGCUCAAAUCCAUCAAGCGAUUCAAGCGCAGUUUCCAUUUCCGAUUUGGAAGAGUAACAAACAAAGCCAUAACCCCGUGAUUUCCCUGUAUCUCCAUCAAACACAACUCUAGCCCCAACCACAUCUCCACACUCUCGAAACGCUCCAGCUAAAGACUCUGAAGUAACUGUCCACGACAAGUUACCAACAAAUAGCUUAAACUCUGUCUCUGGAUACAAAGGUUCUUUGUUAGGUUUUGGUUUAUCUGCAAAGUUCACCUUCAAAGCCCGACCAUGAUACUCCUGAGAAACAAAAACCAAUUCCAAACAAGAAUGUGAUUUCUGUUUUUUUUUUUUUUUUUUUU